rnacentral:lncRNA from 1 species
CAGUGACAAUGUCUUUCUUAUCUACAUGUCUAGGAAUAGUUGAUGCUCUGACCCCUUCACCUCUAGUUCUGACGCUCAACUAACAAAGUAUCCAAAGUGCGUCUUCUCCAAUGUCUGAAGAAAAAUGCUGGCCACAUACCGUUCACCUAGAUUGGAGUCUUAGGAGGAAGGCAACUCAAGGAAUCUGAAUCUCAUCACCCUUGGAUGAUUCAGUCUGGUGCUCAUAACUUCGGAGCAAAAGAAAACAUGAAUGCCAAAACACUGAGGUCCAAGCUCCUAUGACAGUGUGUAUUGAUCAAUUUACAAGAAAAGUGAUGUGACCAGAAGCUCACGAGAUCCUGACUUGAAUUUCCCCUGGG